UCCGGCAGCCUUACACCCCCGAUCCCAUCCGCCACCGACCACCCUUCGCCGCUCCCGACCUCAGCGGCAGUCGAUAACCCUCCGCCGUCCCCGACCAUAGCCACACCCUUCACCGUCCCCGACCACCCUCCACUGUCCCCAAACCCCUACCGCACCCGGCUUCCUUCCCGACCACCGCGGCGGGCUAGGGUUUGACGCCGCUGGCCCUCCUGGUCGUCCUCCAGUUGAUCUCUAGAGGAAACGGCUUCCAUCCUCCUUCCAAAGCCUGUGAGCACGGAUCUGGCUCCUCCCACCGUUCCUUCCCCUCUCCUGCUUGGAGCCGCCUGUGACCACGGAUCUAACUCUCCUCCACCAGCGGCUUCUGGGAUGGCGCGGAUCCACCUCUUCUCCACAAGCGCCGGCCGAGACGAUGUGGAUUCGCAUCUCCUCCUCCCUCCCUGCCAUGGCCGCCUUUAUCCAUUGCGCCCCCGCCUUGCAGCUCAGCUUCUGGAAGGAGAUUUGGAGGAGUACCUGCUGCUCACGGUGGCUUCAAGCCUUCUUCCCAACUAGCCCCAGAGGCACAACGUUAAGGGUGCAAGCUCGACUGAUUCAAUGGUCUGCCUUGGCGUGAUGGCUCCCCGUCAACAACCAGGUUGACCAUGGUCUAUGCUAGCUUGUAGGCCCUUAUCUUGUGCACCUAAUUGAUGUGGCUCUCUUCAUUGAAUGAAUUAUGUUGAUCUCGUAACUAUUUUUAAUCUAAUGAUAAGAUCCGAUUUAUGCAAAUCUUCUAUAUACAGUGUUUAGGUAGUAGGUAUUAUCUUAUUGGUUUACAAUACUGGUUCUGUUCCUGGGAAAAAGUAUUGCUUGAAUUGUAUCUUGAUCAUCAGAUCAGAUUCAUGAAUUACUAGAUGUUUCAUGUGAGCUGUCUGGGUCCGAAGUCCCUUUGUUCACAUAGUACAUUUUUGUUUCUGUAUGUGGAUAUUUAUUUAUUCUAUGAAUAUAAGUGUUGCAAACUUCUGUGAAGUCUGAUAAAAAUAGAACAAUGCAGCAGUUUCUUACCCUGUUCCAGUCUGCUGGAAGUGUCUUUGCUGCCUCUCCAAGAUGCUGGAAGGUCACCUCCAUCGAUGCUCUGUCAGCCGCUUCCACAAGCCGCCAGACUUAAGGAUGUAGAAUUACAUUUAUGGAAGGUUCAUAUUCAAUUUACUAAAAACAUGAAGCAUUGAUCUCCUUUUAAAUAUGUUUGACUAGUAAAUGGUAUUUCUAUGUAGCAGAUGUGUGCGCAAGAAAGAUAAUACAGGAUAUCACCCACUUUCAUGCCUUGGCUCAAUAAAGCGACAUUAGUGAAAAAUAAAAACUGACAACUAUACUUACGGGUAGACUGGUACCUAGCGCAAGUAUAGGGUAUUGUAGACUGGUGCAAGAAGAAAUUAAAACCAUUCCAAACAGAUCAUUUAUGGUUUUUUGUUGGAUGUCUGCAUUCUAGCUAAAGAUGACCUUGAAGUUAAUUGUCCUCCAUCUUGCUGUGAUAUUCAACUUUCUCUGUUUUAUUUCAACUCUUCUAUUUUUCCUGUAGUAAUGAACGUCAUGUGAUAAGUGGUAGUACUAUGUCAGAGUGAUGUUGCUCUGCUUUGUACCAACUUAGAAUUCAUGUUUUAGACUAACCUAAAAUUUCAGCUCCGCAUUAUAACUUAGGUCUUGAAAGGUUCGACAAGAUCUUGAAGGUGUUGGAGGUUGGGCAAGAUCCGCAAGGCGUCCAUACUAGUUUUUUCUGCUAAAUUUGGAAAAAGAAUGGAAAAGGAAGAGAAGAAGACAAUGCUGAAGCACAAGAGCAACAGAGGCUAUACUUAAAGCAAGGAACAAUUAGGAUUUUUAACGAUUUGGGUCAUUUACAUUUUCAAAUCUAAAAUAAGAUUUUGGAGGCCGAGCAAGUCAGCGACAAAAUAAAAGGAAGAAGGUUUCUCAAAGAUGAACAAGUUGAUGGAGGUUUGGAAGAUCUACAGGCUGACGAAGAUUAUGAACGCCUACAAUUAAGUCGGUGUAGUGAUAAUGGAAUAUGCCUUGUUUGUUGAACAUGGAGAUUUGCUCUGCUCAUGUUGGUGGUUGUUAAGUCAAUGUAUGCUCAUGUUGGUUGUGUGGUGCAUCAAGAAAUAAAUGUGUUUCUCCCUUUUUGGCACAACUUCAGCUUGGUUGUCUGGCACAUCUAAAAACAGAUGUAUGCACUUCUUUUGUGGCACAAUGUCUUUGUAUAUGAUUGUAUGAUUAUUUAAUGAAGUUCAAGAUUUUUGACUAGACCUUUAUGUAACUUCAUUUGAGAUGUAUAUAUAAAUCGCAUGAUAUGUCC